rnacentral:lncRNA from 1 species
ACCAUUGAAUAAUAUAGAUAGCCGGGCUGAGGAAAGGAUUACACGAACCCAUUGAACAAAAGUAUCAUGGAAACCAAAAGCUCUAAGCACCUGAUCUAGAAAGUCCCAAUUGAGAGUAUCAAAAGCUUUAGCAAACAUCAAACUUAAUAGCGACAUUACCCCCCAAAACACUUAUUGUCCAAUAAAUUAACACACUUUGAGGCCAACAAAAUACAAUCUAAAAUAUGCCUGCCCUUAAGAAAUGCGUAUUGAUUUGGCAAAAUAAUUCGAAUAGCUACGAGAGCAAGCCUAUCUGCAAGAAUCUUUGUAAUGACCAUCUACCAGUUCUUGUUUCUAGAGUUAUCUAUCUGUUUUCACACCUAAUUACUGGUGUUCUUUUUCUAAUGAUGAUGUGAAAUUCUUGUCGACAACCAUAUUUUCUUUUUUUUUUUGAACAAAAUCGACAACCAUAUUUUCAAACAUUAAUUUUAUUAUGACCUAGCACACAAGGACGUGCAUAUAUUACAUGUACAGAGCCUUUGUUCAAAAGGGAUCUCCAUUUUUUUGGUAUACUGUGACUAGUUGUGAAUUUGUUAUGCUAAUUAUACGUUGAACUUUAACGAUUCAAACCGUCUUUUUUUAAAUCUUCAUUUAUAAAUCAUGCUUGCAAAAAAUCAAUUCAAGCCAAAAUCAUUUACUCAUUUGGCUGUCAUGAUAAAAUUUCAAUGUUUCUUAAAACAUAGCGUUCGUUAAUUUUUUU